rnacentral:tRNA from 2 species
CAAGAAAUAGUUUAAUAAAAAUAAUAACAUUGGAAGUUAUAGAUUAAAAAGUAAAUUUUAUUUUUUGA